rnacentral:lncRNA from 1 species
CUAAAAUUUUAAUUACUUCCAAUAUGGAAAAGCACUCGGCUUUCCAGAUAGCACACGCUGACAGGGGCAGUGCCUAGGACAGUGCACAGGGUUCCCUGGGGCAAGUGGUGCCUGUGCUCUGUGCUGAUAGUAGCUGGCACGGGACACAGGUUCUCUCGACACCUGGGCCCAGUUGUUAGCAUAGGGCAUCGACUUCUUCGUGGAAUGUUGGCUGUGUACCUGGUGUUUGGCUUGAUGAACAAAGCCAGUGUUUCCUUGGGCUAUUUUUGAUUGUGCAGUAGGAAUUCUGUGGUGGCGGACAUGCCUACUCACUGGAGCAUGGGGUCUGUCUUGGUGCGCACUUUUCCUUGAGGGAGCACAUCUAUGGUGAAUCCCCAGUUUCUCCUCUAGGAUUGGUCCAGCAGAGGUCUUGAGGUCCUGUGCUUCAGUGUUCUCCUGAGGCAUGAAUGAUCUGCUCAUGCCGGACCCUCGACUGUGGGUGGUGCCAGAUAAGGCCCGGACUUUUUGCAAGGCUUGGACAGGCCUUGUCCCUGAACGCUGCACGUCCUGCCUGAGACUUCCACAGACCUUUUUAUUAUUUGGACCAAAUAUAUGGCUAGUCCUUGGUUCCUGAGUUUGGGAAAUCUUGGUGAGAUUCCUUUCUCUUGAGAUGAGAGGGUGUCUGUCAUGAGACUUUGACUGAAUUGAAGGGGACAGAGUCUUGGAACGGAAUUUGGAGGCCCUGGAAGCUAGGAUAUCUGCAGCAAGCAGAACCUCCGGAGCACAGUCUUGAAGGAAUGUUCCAGUGGCAUAGUCCUGCAGGACAACACCUGCAGGGGCCAGGCAGUGAGGUGUGCUCAGACCUGAGUCUUCUGGAUCCUGGGAAAUGGGUCUGAAACGGGAUGGAGUCUCACUGGUCUCCUGUGAUUCACUGUUGGUUGGAGACUUUGCCAACUCCCCAGCUUCCGUGGUGAGCCCCCAGGAAGAAGACUCUUCCUCCUCUGCCUCUUCCAGACGCCAGGCACCUUACUGUCUUUGGUAUGUCUCCACCCCCUGCUUGAGCAGUUUUUCAGGGUUUCUUCCGUCUUCUCCUUUCCUCGUCCCACUAGGGAAACACUUUGUGCAUCUCUUCUUGGGAGGCUCAUGUGUCUAUCAGAUCCAUGCCUGGAUCCCUCCAUGUCUGGAAUAUCUCUGGACCCUCUGAGUGGACACUCUGUGGAGGCUGGCUGUUGUCAUCUGCCCGUGACGAGGGGCAUGGACUGCUAUGAUUACCUUCUUCCUGACUUGUUACUGACAGUUUGUCCUGAGACGUCAUAAGGUCCAGAGAUAGUUGGACCUUGUGGGGCUGUUGGCCCUGUUGUAUGAAUCUCGUUAGUAACUGCUGUUCUAACUGCUCCUGAAACCUGGUCUGAAUGAAUUCCCCCGGGAGUUGGACAACAGACCCAUGGCCCUUGGACACCCAACUAUUUGAAGUGAGUGGAUUCCAAGCUUCGUGGGACUUUUUCACCAUGACUGGGCCGAAUAUUUGGUAUGGAGACGAUUUUAUAAUACCACAACCAAUCAAGUACAAAGUGUGGACUGCAGUUCCAAUGGAUACAAGCACAAAACAAUUCCCUCACCUUAUGUUGAAGAUGCCAAAAGGAGGAACCCCCAGCCCUCUGAGAACAGCUACUCCCAUCACCAGCAAGGGUCACUAUGACCUAGAAGAAAGCAGAGUGGUGUGCCAUAUUAGUUGUGGCCAUCAUGCCAUCCCCAGAGGUGACAGUCAUUCAAUGAAGAACAGCUUUCAGCGCGUGGCUUCUGUCUGCACUAAGCUGGGCACAAGGCAAGGUCAGCAUUUGGUUGUCCUUGAAGCAGCUUCUAGAAGUGAAGGGCACAGAGACAUGACAGUGGCACUGAGACUCAUGCUCACCCCACAUCCCUAGCUGCAGCUAAGGCUUGCCAUCCCAGCAUCAGAGAAACCGUCGUAGAAAACCUUCACAUAUGUGGAGAUGCACUAAUCUGCCAGCGACCCCCCACCACUGGGUCUUGCUCAACCUGCCCCUCUGGUUUUGUCCUACAUUUGUGCCUGUGAAGGUAUGGCUGUGCAGAGGCACAAGAAGGCCCAAUAGCUCACAUGCCACAAGGAGGGUUCAGGAAUGUUGGGGUGUGGUGGUCUUCAGCUAAAAUUUGGAAGACUCCUGCAUCUAGUCUCCUGAGGGAAAUGAAUCCCCAGGAGCAAAGCCCAUGCUCUCCCUGCUGGAGCCAGUAGAAGCCACAGAGUCUCCCACCAUGAGAAGGCCACAGUCACCGUUUUCCUAACUUAUGUGCAUGUGUGUGCCUGUUUGUUUAUAUGUGCACAGCACAGCUGCAUUGUCUGUGGAGGCUUCAGAUCCCUGCAACUGGAGUUACGGGCAGCUGUGCACCACUUGAUGUGAGCACCGGGAACCAAACCCAGGUCCUCAGCUAGUGUUCCUAACUGAUGAGCUUUCUCCCCAGCUCCUCCACAUUUCUCUUUAGAAACUGAUAGAGCCCACCCAAGGUUCCCCUUAGACACGCCCUCCAGACCUUCACAUACCCCACAGAGACCCCUAGACACUCCCCCAUGGACAUUUAGGGACAUCCACACAGAGAACCCCAAAGUUCCCUCUCAGACCCUCUCUUCCAGACCUUCAAGCGCCCUCCAUAGAGACUUCUGGCCAACACAGAAACACAUGUAAUAACACCCUCAACACCAGCAAUAGCACGUGAGCUCCAGAGCCCACAGAGAUCUCACAGAAACCCUUACAUUCUCAUGUCAUCAUGCCAGCCACACUACACAAAGACUGGAAUAUGCUAACAUGUCGUCCAGGAAAGGUGGCCUACUAGGCCUCUUGAUUCUGACUUCACCUGGCUCCAGCCAUUUGCUGUCAUCUGCGGUGAUGACGCCAAAGCACCUGCUCCCUUAGCUCAGGACCUGGACUCCCCACCACCUGUUCAUUGAAGCCUUAACGAUCUUUACCAUUCCUCAGCAAUGGUCACAUGACCCCAAGAUGACUCUCAACUUGGGGAUCCUUCUGAAGCUUUGGAAUAAGCACCCCACACACUACCCUUCUAUUCCUGGGGUAACCAGCUGAACAUUUCACACAUCAUUUUCACUAUCAUGGAAGCUCAGAGGGAAGCAUGCUCAGGUUUUGUAUACCAUGGUCCCUGGAGUGAGGCAAACUUUAGUGGUUUCCCUUGCUUCAGCUAUAAAACAGGGCAGCGGGUGAGUGUUAAUACUGCAUGAAGGGAAAUGAGUUGCAAGACUGAAACACUAUGGUAGCCUUCUGGAUCAUUUUCCUAUCAUUCUUUUUUUGUGUGUGUG